CUACGAAGGGGGCUAGCGUUGUUCGGAAUUACUGGGCGUAAAGCGCGCGUAGGCGGAUUGGUCAGUUAGGGGUGAAAUCCCAGGGCUUAACCCUGGAACUGCCUCUAAUACUGCCAGUCCUGAGUUCGGGAGAGGUGAGUGGAAUUCCUAGUGUAGAGGUGAAAUUCGUAGAUAUUAGGAAGAACACCAGUGGCGAAGGCGGCUCACUGGCCCGAUACUGACGCUGAGGCGCGAAAGCGUGGGGAGCAAACAGGAUUAGAAACCCUAGUAGUCC
rnacentral:rRNA from 1 species